rnacentral:rRNA from 1 species
UGAUCCUGGCUCAGGACGAACGCUGGCGGCGUGCCUAAUACAUGCAAGUCGAACGAAGCUUUCUUUCACCGAAUGCUUGCAUUCACCGAAAGAAGCUUAGUGGCGAACGGGUGAGUAACACGUAGGCAACCUGCCCAAAAGAGGGGGAUAACACUUGGAAACAGGUGCUAAUACCGCAUAACCAUGAACACCGCAUGAUGUUCAUGUAAAAGACGGCUUUUGCUGUCACUUUUGGAUGGGCCUGCGGCGUAUUAACUUGUUGGUGGGGUAACGGCCUACCAAGGUGAUGAUACGUAGCCGAACUGAGAGGUUGAUCGGCCACAUUGGGACUGAGACACGGCCCAAACUCCUACGGGAGGCAGCAGUAGGGAAUCUUCCACAAUGGACGAAAGUCUGAUGGAGCAACGCCGCGUGAAUGAAGAAGGCCUUCGGGUCGUAAAAUUCUGUUGUCAGAGAAGAACGUGCGUGAGAGUAACUGUUCACGUAUUGACGGUAUCUGACCAGAAAGCCACGGCUAACUACGUGCCAGCAGCCGCGGUAAUACGUAGGUGGCGAGCGUUGUCCGGAUUUAUUGGGCGUAAAGGGAACGCAGGCGGUCUUUUAAGUCUGAUGUGAAAGCCUUCGGCUUAACCGAAGUAGUGCAUUGGAAACUGGAAGACUUGAGUGCAGAAGAGGAGAGUGGAACUCCAUGUGUAGCGGUGAAAUGCGUAGAUAUAUGGAAGAACACCAGUGGCGAAAGCGGCUCUCUGGUCUGUAACUGACGCUGAGGUUCGAAAGCGUGGGUAGCAAACAGGAUUAGAUACCCUGGUAGUCCACGCCGUAAACGAUGAGUGCUAAGUGUUGGAGGGUUUCCGCCCUUCAGUGCUGCAGCUAACGCAUUAAGCACUCCGCCUGGGGAGUACGGUCGCAAGACUGAAACUCAAAGGAAUUGACGG